AAAUUCCAUCCUCAACCAGCAGUGUGACCUUGUGCAGCAUUCAUCAUGAUGCGUCUGGCAUAAAAAAGAGCAUUCUUCUCCUGAGACACAUGGGGAGCAGGGAAAAGUCAAUCAGGGUGAAGAAGCCAUGCAUUUCUUCUAUACAUGUAUGAUUUCUCCUGAGAUUUAUGUUGUUUAUCAGUUCACAUCACAGAAUAAGAAAAUCCUCACUUUUUAACUGUCUACUGACCAGCCAAAAGGUAAGCUUUCCUAAUAACAUUUUGCAUAAUAUGAUUUUUUUUUACUUUAUUGCGCAAUGCAGGCUUUGUUACUAACUUAAUUGAGCUGAUGAUAUUCAUAAGUGAAAUAAUUCAGAGAUGGUAAAUCAGUCUCUGAGUUUGCUUUCUAAAAAGAAAGCCUAUUUCCUUGUUUAAUUUUGUUGUUUUACCAUAUGUGAAAUCUAUUUUUUAUUACCUGUUUUUUUCUAAUGUUUAAUUUUAUUUUCAAAUAACCCUUUAUUUCUAUAGUGAAUUUUCUGAAUCUUUUCAACCUUGUAAUAGUAACACUCUGCUGGCCCUAUAACCUUGUGAUGAAGAGAUUUUUACUUGAGUAGUUGAGUUUUCAAAUCAUAAAUCUGAUGGCAAUCUUGCGAUGCCUGUCACUGGAGUUCUGUGCAAUUUAUUGAACUAUCUAGUCCUUCAGAACUGACAUUUUGCUUGAUAUCAAGUUAGAGGAGUCAGAUUUUGUUAAGAAUGUGGCUUUGCUUGAAUAGACUUUGGACUUUGGGAAUAGUCCAAAAGUCUCUCUCUUGCAAUAGGAUGUUGUUGACAACCUCAGAUUUAGGUACCAGUCUUAUCAAAAGAGGGAAGGGAAUAGGUUUUAUUGAGCACCUACUAUGUGUUUCAGCUGUGACUAAGACACAGUCCUUGACUCCAUAGAGCUUACCAUGGAAAAGAGGUAAUUUAGUAAUUAUUAUAGUACUUGUGAUUAGUAUUAUGACAUGGAAUUAUUGCAGUGAAUAGUAGGGGGUUUUAACUUAGUAUUUGGGGUCAGAGAAAGCCUUCUGGAAAAAGAACAAUGUUAAACUAAGAUCUGAUAGAAGAGUAGAAAUUAGACAGGUAAAGGAGAUGAGAUCAGGAAGAAAGUAGGUAAUGUUACAGUGCUGGGAUGAAAGAAGGCUUCAGGCAGGGGGAAUGGAAUGUGCAAUAGCAGCUUGAGGAAUUAAAAUAAGGCCUAUAUAGCUAGAGAAUAUAGAGAUUGAGGAGUAUGAAGUUAACUGGAGAAGUAGUAGGAACCAUUCAUUCGAUAUUAGGUAUUGACAAUUAUAUGCUAGGUGUUGGUGAUGGAUUAACUAGAUGGACGUGCUCCCUGCCUUCAUGGAUUUUCCUUUCUAGUGAAAGAGACACUAGAUGAACAAGGAAACAAAUCAUAGCCACAAAGUGUAGAUUGUGACAAGUGCUAUUGAUAUCUAUCAGUUGUCUUUCUCAGCUUGGGCUAACAAACUACUGUAGACUGAGUGCCUUAAACAACCAUUUUUUCUUGCAGCUCUGGAGGCUGGAAGGUCCAAGUUCAAAGUGCUGGUGGAUUCAGUAUCUGCUGAUGGCCAUCUUCUUGGUUUUCAGAUGGCUGUCUUCAUGCUGUGUCCUCACAUGGGGUGGAGAGAGAGAGGGAAAGAGAGAGGAAGAGAGGAUGUGCAAAUGCUCUGGUCUCCUCCUCUGUUUAUAAGGGCACUAAUCUCAUCGUGUGCUCCAUGCUUAGGACCUCAUUUAACCCUAAUUACCUCCCAAAGCCCCACCUCUAAUACCAUCAUAUUGGGUAUUAGGGCUCCACAAAUAUUCAGUUUGUAUCAACAGUAUUGUGAUAGCAAUCUGGGAAAGGCUGUAGGUUUGUCAGGGAUGACUUGGUGGAGGAAGCAGCACUUUAAAUUGAAUCUUGAAGGACCAGAAAAAUCCAAGCAUAAGAAGGGGAAGAGAAAGAGUGUCCUAAGCAGAUGAAAUAUUCUUUGCAGAGGCCAUGCCUCAGAAAAGAGAGUGAGGUGUUUGAGGUUCUUGCAAAGAGGUUAGUGUUGCUGGAGUGUAAUAAUCUAGGAGUAGAGUAUCGUGAGAUGAAGUUAGAGAGGUGAGCAGGUAGAACUCUGCCUCCAGUUUUAUAGGUAAGAAAAUGGAUAAGCUAUUUGCCUAGGGUUAUCUCAGGUAGUAAAUGGCAAAGCCACGAAGCUAGCCCAAGCCUAUAUGCUCAAUGAUUAUUUGUCCAAGCCUAUGUUUGUUUGUUCAUUCAUUCAACUAACUAAUAUUUACUGGCACCCACAUACCAUGCUACAGUCCAAGGACAAACAAUUAAACCAGGUAUUCAAGUUCCUUGCCUUCAUGGGGCUCUAUCUUGCUUGCUCUUUUCCCUGAGUCAUGUAUCCUUGGAGGGCAAGGGGAAGAUAAGAGAACUUUCAUUUGUAAGCAAUGGAAAAACAAAGCUCAAUAUGGCUUACGUAUUUAACGGAACUGUUUGCUCACAUAAUGGAGAUAAGGUUUCUGGGAUGAUUGAGGAAAUCUCCCUCUCUAUUUUUUUUUCUACCCUUCUUUUAGUUCUUUCCUCUUCUUUGAUUUAGUUUUGCCCAGUUUUGGACUUUGUAUCUACAUUAUCCAAAAGGAAAGAGGGUUCCAGAAUUUUCAUUAUAAGUCCUGAGCUUUGUGCUCACUGAGUUGACCUUCAUGGAGCCAGGAAAAUACUCACACUGACAUGCUUAGUCCUGGGUUCCAUAUUUAUUACUGAAACAACCAUGGUGACAAGGAUAUUCCCAGUUAUUUAGAAUAUCCAAUGUGGAAAGUUAUACCAGUCUUUGGGAGUGUGUCAACAGGGAGUUAUACCAACAUUUGGGAAUGUGUGUGCAUGGAAAAUUAUGGAAGAUGCACAUGGAAUUUUGUGGGAAAUAUUGGGUUGUGACAAUGCUGGGGGUGCCUGUGUGUCAAAAUUGACAUAUAGUGGAUGAGGGUCAAGGAUGCUAUGGAGGUCUUGCAAUGUACAGGAUGGGCCUGUACCACAAAUAAUUAUUCCACAUUCUGCAUUCCCUUGGAAUGUGCUUCUGGACAAUAUUGUAUUGAAAAUGUUGUACUGACAACACAAUAUUGGUGAAAAAUUGUAUAUAAUUUUAUAUAAUCUGAAUCUAGACUUCUGCAAAAUAUAUUUUUGGGGGCAGUAUUUUAACAUACACUGAAUUUUCCAGAAAUGUAGCUAUGGAUGUAUUGUAAUAAUAUUAUACUUUGUUCAGAACUUUUCUGAGAUUUGUUUGCUCAUUUGAAAAAUCAUAUCACAGAUGGGAGGGUGAUCUGGCAUCUGAAUUAUCUGUGCAACAUGCCUUAUCACCUGUUUUUUAGGUGUCUCACUUCAUGGUAAUUCCAUAUAAAGGUGUAUGCAUCUGACUACAAUAUUGUGAUUUACAUAUUAAAAUACAUUUUAAAACAAAUUACUUUUGUUUAUUUCUACGUUGUUUUAUUUUGAGCAAUGUAUUGAUUUUAAAAAAUGUGUGGAGAUAAUUGUAUUUAUUAAAAAAAUUUAGUAUAGAGAGAGGCCAUUAUAAAAUAUUUAUUAUAUAAUUGGACUAUUGCAUUUAGUGGGGUUGAAAAAACUGGUUUAGACACAUCAGAGACCACUCUUGGAGCUGGGGAUAGGGUCAAUACCUGUAUUGCCUGGUUACUGUAAGCCACAGGAGAGAGGAAAUAGAUACUGGGGAGAUACCCUCAGUGUCUCCUGGAAACUCAUUUUUUUUUUUUUCUGCUAACUGUGGGCCUUUCUUAAUAUAGAAGUGAUUAGAGUUUAAUAUUUUCAUGUUAAGUGCUUUCUGAGGGAAAAAUCCAGAUUAAGGUAACUUUUUGUGAAUGUGAGCUCGAAUUGUUUAUUUUAAAAAGGAAGUUAAUUUGGGGAGAAAUGUGAUACAAAUUUUAUUUCAUGUUGAAAAUUUUAUCUUAUCAAUGUAGAUUUUAAAUUCUUUUUUUUUUUUUGACUUGAUUCAGUUUUGUGUAGGCAUCUCUCACUUGUUCAUUGUUUUAACAUACCAUUUCCUAUUUUUGUGCUGUGUACUAAAUGCAUGCUUUGAACAUCAAGGGUUUUCAAAUACAAAAGCUGACCUGGCCAUGAAGCUGUGAAUAGGAAUGACAGAAAUACUAAAUUUCUAGUGAAACAGUCAUCAUAGAAACAAUGAAAGGAUAGAAAUGGAAUACAGCAAAUAAAAAAUGGGGAAUAGUGGUUUGGCUUAUUUAAUAGGUUGAACAGUGAUAUACUAACUCAGACUGAAGUUAUACAAACAUAUCUGACUCCUUUAAAGUAGAGAUUAAAAAAGAACAUUAAAAAAUGGUCAUUUUAGAUAGUGGAAACAGAUUUUCUCUACUGCUACAAAAUUUACACUCAAGUGAACACUUUGUCUGUUUCCUUGAAUUAAUUUUUUUUAAAUCGUGUUUCUAUUGCUUUGUUAUAAUGUAUUUGGUGCAGUACACACAGGGCCACUCUUCAAAAGUGGUCUUGGAAAUGGCCUGGGAAGCCAAUCUGGAGUGUUGCAGGAGCACAAUUGAAAACAUUUUUCAAAGAUAAUUAGUGGAACACUACUCAGGUAACAUGCCUGAAGCCCUGUAAUUCCAGGACUUUUUAAAUGUUUUAACAAAAUAAUUGAUUAUACAUAGCAACCCGCUGCCCCGGCAUCCAGCCCUUAAUAGGGAGGAGCUAACUAUUUGCUGUUGGGUAAGGUUAAGUGCGUAGAGAAAUUGCAAAUGUUACUUCUUUUUUCUUUCUCUGUGUGUGGAUGCCACCCAGAGUCCCUACAGUUUAAGGGGUUGUAGGUGAUCUAUUUAUUUUAUAAUUACUUAGCAGAGGAUGGGCUCUGACAUUUUGCUUUUGUGCCCUCAAUUUCUAGCUACUCCAGUGAACUGCCAUGUAUGUUUUUGCAUUGCUUCAUAUGUGCCAUUCCCCACCCCCAACAAAAGCCAAUGAGCUAUAGAGCAUUGUCCCUUUUCAUUAGUGCGGUUUUCAGUUUUAACAUGUUAUUUUAUGUCAGCUGGCUUUUUCCGUUCUGCAUCAACAUUGUAAUCAGUAGCUAACAUUUUGUUAAGCAAUUUGUUGAUGCUUAUCACUUGUCAAGUUUUCAGUUUGCUAGCCACUGACAUGAUUUUCGCUUUCUUGUUCAGAAAGAGAUUUUCACAGUUUAAUAAAAUGUUAUUCAACAUGCCAUUUUCUCUCCUCUCUUCUCCCUUUCUUGACCCUUGUCCAAAAAUAGGCAUGUCCCUCUCAAAGAAACAUAUUGUGUUUGAAAAUCAGAACACUUAAAACAGAUCAAAUAUGGGUCAGUGAAUUUCAAGUAUCACUUAGAGAAGACCAUUAUGUGGAGCAUGUAAUAUAGAUCUAUGUGUGGAAAUACUGUCAACCGCUGUGAAUGUCCCUAGCACAGUGCCUGCCACAUAGUAGGUACUCAGGAAAUGUCCAGUGAAACGAAAAGAGGAACACAUGUGAAUAGUCACAAAGUUGAAAUAAUAAGGAACACUAAUUUUCAUUCAUUUCCCUACCCCCAUACACCCUGGGGAGCGGGUUAGCCAGCAAAAAUGUCAUAACUGGUCUUUCUUUAUUUGCAAUAUUAAUUUAUAUUAAUAUAAUAUAUCCACUAAUUCCUUACCCCCUUGAAUUGUGUAUUUCAAUUUCAUUACUUUAAUUUUGAACAAAAAUAUAAAGUUUUUCCUUCUCUGCAAAAUUUGUUCCUUCAUAUGAGUUUCUGCAACAGCAAGAGAAAGUCUAAAGUCUUCCUGAUAGCAGCCGAAAAGAUGUGAAUUACUUUGUUUACGGAGAGUAAAGGAAAAUGCUAAGGGGGACAUUAUGUGUUAGGCUGCAACUAUGGUUGUACAGUCCCUCAGGCCUCCAGUCACUUGGGAAGAUGAAAGCAAUUUACCAGAGGAACUCUCCCUUGUCUUAUAAUUUACUGUUAAAAAUAGCUGCUAAAAGGUAAGAAAGUUAAGUUCCUGAAUAGAGCAAGUACUUUGGAUUUAUGUUUAUCAUUGUUAUAACUGGGAAAUGGGAUUUAUGGGUUAAUCUGAUAUGCUGGGUAAUGGAGUGCUACUAAAACAUAACAUGAAAACUUAUUAUUUAUCCAGAAUGGUUGAGAAAUGGUAUGUUUUAGAAUUCUGGAUCUUCAAGAGUUGCCACACAUUAUAACCUGUACAGCAGUGGUUCUCACCACAGAUAGUAUUUUGCCGUAUAGCGGACAUUUGGUAAUGCCUGGAGACAUUUUUGACUGUCCUGGGGAUGAAAGGAAGAGGUGCUAGAAGCAUUUCGUGGGUGAAGUCCAGGAAUGCUGCUAAGCAUCCUACUGUGCACUAAUGGUCCUCAAAGCAAAUAAUUAUCUGGUCCAAAAUGUCAGUAGUUCUGAAUUUGAGAGACCCUACCCUGCACUUAACAUUUUUUAAAAUUAAAUUAGGAUUUAGUAAAAUUACAAGAUGACAGUGAGCAUUUUUGGUGAUUUAGAUAACAAUUUAGCAUCUUACAGUGCUUCAGUGUCUUUGUCAACGUUCAUUACCACCGUAUCGGUGAACUGCAGAAAUGUUGGUUUGUGGAGAUUCCUGAUUGCCAGAUGGGUAGAGACGUUAUGCUGUGGUAUAGUUAUCUGAAGAGGCUCAAUUGAUUCUUAUGUCAUAACAGUUAUUUGAGUUAGAAUUGUUACUUCUUAUAGACAAAAUUAUUCACUUUUCACAUUACAACAGAAUGGAAAUACAACUGGAUCUUUCUUAAUGAGUUUUUAAUCUCCUUUAAAAAUAAUAGGUGGUAUGGUAUUGAAAGAGUACUUCUCUCAGCACUGCUGUUAUUACAGUGUACUAUGCUUUUAUUUUUAGGUUACCAGGAGAACCUAAAAAAGAAGAAAAACAUUUUUUCUGCCAUUUAGAUAAAGUUUGUGUAUACAGUCCAAGAAAAUAAAAAAGAAAAAUACCUGCUUCUGGGUAGAAAACCAGAGGAAUCUAUUUAUUGGUCAGUGACUUAAAUAUUUACCGAGGACUGUCUUCUUCACAUUCAGGCUAGAGCAGUAAAUAAGAUAGGACUUUUUAUGAUGUUGUUUACUGAUUUAUUUGAAAAAUAAUAAAAGUUUAAAGCAUGA